CCGAGUUAUUACUCCAAACCCUUUGUGAACCUUACCUUACUGUUGCUCGGCGUACCGCGGGCCGCGGCUUCGGCCCGUCCCGCAGCGCGCCAGAGGACCCAACUCUUCUAUUUUAUAGCGUACCUUCUGAUUUACAAUACAAACAAGUUA
rnacentral:misc_RNA from 1 species